CUUACCAGGUCCAGACACAGUUAGGAUUGACAGAUUGAGAGCUCUUUCUUGAUUCUGUGGGUGGUGGUGCAUGGCCGUUCUUAGUUGGUGGAGUGAUUUGUCUGGUUAAUUCCGAUAACGAACGAGACCUCAGUUUAUUAAUUAAAUAAAAAAAUAUUAACAAUAUAAGGGUUAAUAGAAUUUUAAUAUGGUAUUUAUAUUAUAUUAUAUUUUAUUGAAACUUGUUUAUAUUUCUUUUUAUUUUCUUAAAAAGACACUUGGUGUUUAACCAAGGGAAGUUUGAGGCAAUAACAGGUCUGUGAUGCCCUUUAGAUGUUCUGGGCCGCACGCGCGCUACACUGAUAAAAUCAAUAAGUUUUUUAUUAAAUUAACCUUAAUAGAAAUAUUUGGGUAAACUUUGAAAAUUUUAUCGUGCUGGGGAUUGACAAUUGUAAUUAUUUGUCAUCAACGAGGAAUUCCUAGUAAACGUAAGUCAUCAGCUUACGUUGAUUACGUCCCUGCCCUUUGUACACACCGCCCGUC
rnacentral:rRNA from 1 species